GUAUGCUGCACAUAUCCCAUAUGGAUGACCUCAUUGCAAACUCCAUGAAAAUUCUGGAACCAGCUCCUGUUGAUGCGCAAGGGAAUGAACGUGAAGAUGUGUUGCAAGCAGAGGAACCGAUCGAUUUGUUUAUCUUGCCAGGUCUUGCGUUUGACAGGUGUGGGCGACGUU